CCUACGGGAGGCAGCAGUGGGGGAUAUUGCACAAUGGGGGGAACCCUGAUGCAGCGACGCCGCGUGGGUGAAGAAGCGCCUCGGCGCGUAAAGCCCUGUCAGCAGGGAAGAAAAUGACGGUACCUGAAGAAGAAGCCCCGGCUAACUACGUGCCAGCAGCCGCGGUAAUACGUAGGGGGCACGCGUUAUCCGGAUUUACUGGGUGUAACGGGGGCGCAGACGGGGAUGCAAGCCUGGUGUGAAAGCCCGGGGCGCAACCCCGGGACUGCUCUUGAAACUGAGCGGCUGGAGUGCAGGAGGGGCAGGUGGAAUUCCUGGUGUAGCGGUGAAAUGCGUAGAUAUAAGGAGGAACACCGGUGGCGAAGGCGGCCUGCUGGACUGCAACUGACGUUGAGGCCCGAAAGCGUGGGGAGCAAACAGGAUUAGAUACCCCAGUAGUC
rnacentral:rRNA from 1 species